UCGGACCGCGAACCCAGUCAGCGGAACUACCCGCUGAAUUUA
rnacentral:rRNA from 1 species